GAGUUUGAUCGUGGCUCAGGAUGAACGCUAGCGGCAGGCAUAAUACAUGCAAGACGAACGGUAAGCUUUGUAGCAAUACGAAGCCUAGAGUGUCGUACGGGUGCGUAACACGUAUGCAACCUACCUUUUACAGGAGUAUAGCUCCCCGAAAGGGGAAUUAACCCUCCAUAAGAUCGUGGUGAGGCAUCUCACAGCGAUAAAAACUGAGGUGGUAAAAGAUGGGCAUGCGUCUGAUUAGUUAGUUGGCAGUGUAACGGACUACCAAGACGAUGAUCAGUAGGGGACCUGAGAGGGUGAUCCCCCACACUGGCACUGAGAUACGGGCCAGACUCCUACGGGAGGCAGCAGUAGGGAAUAUUGGACAAUGGGUGAGAGCCUGAUCCAGCCAUGCCGCGUGCAGGAAGAAGGCGUUAUGCGUUGUAAACUGCUUUUGCCAGGGGAUAAAGCGGUUCUGCGGAACUAAUUGAAGGUACCUGGUGAAUAAGCCACGGCUAACUACGUGCCAGCCGCC
rnacentral:rRNA from 1 species